rnacentral:lncRNA from 10 species
GUCACAUCUCCCAAGAAGCAGUAAUGUUCCAGCAAUAAGAAAAGGACAGUUUUUUGUCUUUUGCAUGGUGAGCCUUAUAUGAAUUACAUCAAUUUUGUCACCAAUAUCCAUCAUCAGAACAUUUUGAUUCUACAUAACACAUUGCAAAUGGUCACAACAAUCAAGACUAUAUCCAUAGAUGUCCCAGAAAUAAUAUCUGACUAUACAGAGCAGCAUUACCAAGCCACCAAGAAGUCUGCCUAGUAAUGACAAUGAUAACAACAGCUAACACUUAGGAUUUGAUUUAGGACAAAUUGUUAUUUGGAUGGAUGCUUGUCUAUUGAGAGAGUAAUUGUUAAACUAAAGGAAACUGGUCACAAAUACUUUAGCAGUGGCUAUAAAUGACCAGUGGGCCAAGGAUUUUGAGAUCGUGAGAGACUUCUCCGGGAAUGUUGUCAUUCAUUUCACUCCAGUGUGGCUCUUUUCCUCCAUCUGCGCUCACUUUUCUAGGAGAACUAUGGCCACUAUGGAGAAUAUGAAAACAUUGCUGAAGGAGGUGAAAGCCAUUUCAGAAGAAGAGUUAUAUAUUAGCUUUUGGCAGUGACAGCGUUAUGGGCACGGACAUUCAGCCUUUCCAGUUGACUGCUUUGAAGGGGCAAUGUUCACGUGGAAGUAUACCUCCUAGUACGUUUGCUAAAAUAAAAUCAGCUUCAUUACCUAAUAACAUAAAUGACUUUGGGAGAA